rnacentral:rRNA from 1 species
AUUGAACGCUGGCGGCAUGCCUUACACAUGCAAGUCGAACGGCAGCACGGGGUCGCAUGCUGGCCAGUGGCGAACGGGUGAGUAAUGCAUCGGAACGUGCCCUAUAGUGGGGGAUAACUCUCCGAAAGGUGUGCUAAUACCGCAUAUUCUCUGAGGAUGAAAGCGGGGGAUCUUCGGACCUCGCGCUCUUGGAGCGGCCGAUGUCAGAUUAGGUAGUUGGUGGGGUAAAGGCCUACCAAGGCGACGAUCUGUAGCUGGUCUGAAGGAUGACCCCCCUGGGACUGAGACCGGCCCAUCCUACGGAGG